UACGGAGGAUCCAAGCGUUAUCCGGAUUUAUUGGGCUUAAAGGGUGCGUAGGUGGGAUGAUAAGUCAGAGGUGAAAGCUAGCAGCUUAACUGUUAAAUUGCCUUUGAUACUGUUAUUCUUGAGUAUAGUUGGCGUUGGCGGAAUGUGACAUGUAGCGGUGAAAUGCGUAGAUAUGUCACAGAACACCGAUCGCGAAGGCAGCUAACGAAACUAUCACUGACACUGAUGCACGAAAGCGUGGGGAGCAAACAGG
rnacentral:rRNA from 1 species